rnacentral:lncRNA from 1 species
AAAAAGAAAAUAUAAGUGAGAAAAAAGAAAUACUCAAAAGAAAAGAGAAAAUUAAAUAAAUUGAUAAAAUAUAAAAAAUCAACAACAUACUUAAAAAAGAAAAUAAGAAUUUUUUAAAUGAUAUAAUAAAUUGAAAAAAUAGAAAAUAUUAAAACAUGAGUGAAUAAUAGACUAAAAUAUGAUACUUGAAAAAAAAAACUAAUAAAA